AGGCACUAAACUCCAAGUUGCUCUGGUGACUAUGGCUCUUGUAAUAUAAUACAUAUGUAAGUCGCUUUGGAUAAAAGUGUCUGCUAAAUGAAU